GAUGAAGAACGUAGCGAAAUGCGAUAAGUAGUGUGAAUUGCAGAAUUCAGUGAAUCAUCGAAUCUUUGAACGCACAUUGCGCCCCUUGGUAUUCCAUGGGGCAUGCCUGUUCGAGCGUCAUUUGUACCUUCAAGCUUUGCUUGGUGUUGGGUGUUUGUCCCGAGGGACUCGCCUUAAAGUAAUUGGCAGCCAGUGUUUGGUUUUGAAGCGCAGCACAAGCCGCGAUUCAAGGCUACACGCCCGCUUCCACAAGCCUUUUUUCACUUUUGACCUCGGAUCAGGUAGGGAUACCCGCUGAACUUAAGCAUAUCAAUAAGCGGAGGA
rnacentral:misc_RNA from 1 species